rnacentral:rRNA from 1 species
UACGUAGGGGGCAAGCGUUGUCCGGAAUCAUUGGGCGUAAAGCGCGUGUAGGCGGCCCGAUAAGUCCGCUGUGAAAGUCCAGGGCUCAACCCUGGGAUGCCGGUGGAUACUGUCGGGCUCGAGUCCGGAAGAGGCGAGUGGAAAUUCCUGGUGUAGCGGUGAAAUGCGCAGAUAUCAGGAGGAACACCAAUGGCGAAGGCAGCUCGCUGGGACGUGACUGACGCUGAGACGCGAAAGCGUGGGAGCAAACAGG